rnacentral:rRNA from 1 species
CACGUAGGCGGACCGGAAAGUUGGGGGUGAAAUCCCGGGGCUCAACCUUGGAACUGCCUUCAAAACUCCCAGUCUUGAGGUCGAGAGAGGUAAGUGGAAUUCCGAGUGUAGAGGUGAAAUUCGUAGAUAUUCGGAGGAACACCAGUGGCGAAGGCGGCUUACUGGCUCGAUACUGACGCUGAGGUGCGAAAGCGUGGGGAGCAAACA